rnacentral:rRNA from 1 species
CGGAGUUAGCCGGUGCUUAUUCCUGAGGUACCGUCAGAAUUCUUCCCUCAGAAAAGGGCUUUACAACCUUUCGGCCUUCAUCGCCCACGCGGUAUUGCUUCGUCAGGGUUUCCCCCAUUGCGAAAGAUUCUUU